rnacentral:lncRNA from 1 species
ACCUCUUUCAGGAAGCCCUCAAGAACCCCCCAGGAGCUGUGUGUGUCUGUGUGUCUGUCUACCUGGCAAGGAGAUAUGGCCCCCAUCAGACUGGAGCUCCACAGAGCAGAUGGAGUCUGGAUCUGUCACGCAGGCUGGAGUGCAGUCGCGCGAUCUCAGCUCACUGCAACCUAUGCCUCCCAGGUCAAGCGAUUCUCCUGCCUCGGCCUCCCAAGGAACUGGAACCACAGGCGCGCGCCACUGCGCCCAAGGAUUUUCACUUUUAACUGUACAGUGAAGCACAGACUUCUGAGCCAGACUGCUUGGUCUGAACUCUGGUGUCACCACUUAGUAAGUUCUGGUUUGAAUGUACUCACUGAGUGGUCUUCAUAAAUUACCUCUCUGCACUUGAGUCUCCUGUCUGUAAAAUGGGGAUAAUAAUCAUUACAACGAAGCCUCAUAGGAUUCUGGUGGAGACCAAAUGCAUUAAUACAUAUGCAAAGCAUUUGGAACAGCUGGCAUAUAUAAGUGCCAUAUAUCUAUUAUUAAAAAUUUUUAAAUUAUA